UCUUUCAGCCGUUUGCAGUCUGCACAGAUUACGCCAUAUUGCAGUGUGUUUUAAUAUAUUACUGACCGUGAAAUAAUGUACAGUUUAUGUUUCAGGAUUUUGUGUUAAUAUUGUGUAUUUUAACUUUGUUAUAUUAUUUAUUAUCUACUAUUGUAAUGAUGGAAUUUGUUAUCGUUUUGAUAUUUUGUGUGGUUCUUGUGAUUGCUGUAAUGGUAAUUGGUUCCGGAAUGGGGAAAGCUACUUCUUCGCAGCGUCAGAUGGACAUCAUUAACGUCGCUCAGAACUUAUAUGUUUUAAUUAGGAAAGGCGACUUGAAGAAAUGUGACGUUACGCAGACGACCGCGUUUCUUCUCAACAUCGCAAAGUCAACUGUUCUCAAGUAAGUAGGCUUUUUUCGUUUUCAUGCACGUAAAAAAAAUAUCGACUGUGUCCUAAGUAUUGUCGGCCUGUGUUUUAACUCACGAGGUUUUUUGUGUUUUAUUUCCAAUUUAUAUUUUUUGGUGUGAGACAACACCGCCAUGUGGCGUCUCUGUUGAAAAGUUAACCUAAAAUCAUAUUAGGCCUACUCAGGUCCUAACAAUAACAAUAUAGGCACUUUCAAGUAUUUUUAUGGGUGUGAUACACGUUUGUUUAUAACGAUGUUUAUAAACUUUAUGAUAGGUUUAACUAUAACAUAAGGGAGUGAUUUUAUAAUUUGCAUUUAAUUAGUUUUUCAUCUGUUUGGGAGAUCACAAAAUAAAUAAAAAAACACUUCAUUAAUUUCGUGGACAAAGUCUGUCAUGUUUCCAUUUAGUGACCACAAAGCAAAUAUUUGUGACAAAAUGCCAUAUUUGGAACACUGCCUAACUGCGUAUUGUGAACGGGUCCCCGGAAAAGUGUUAUGACAAAUGUUUUUUUUUUUUUUUUGGUUAGGUACUACAAGAAAGACAUUGAAGAAGUUUCAACACCAGGAAAAAAGAGGAAAAAAAGGCCACAGGAAGGAAAGUCACUUGACACAGUCGACGAUUUCACAGUAAAUGCAAUCAGGAAUGCAAUUUACAGGAUGUACGCUGAAGGUUUGAAUGUUACAGUCGACACCAUUUUGAAAGAAAUCAGGGAAAGACAAAUAGAUUAUUAUGGUGGAAGAUCAAGUCUUCAUAAAUUGUUAAAGAAGAUGGGAUUUUCAUGGACAACUGUUGAUGGACGAAAAGCUUUGAUAGAGAAUGAAAACAUAGUAUUGAAGCGAAUAGAUUUCUUGAGAAAGUAUAAAGAAUAAAAAGAAAGAGGUGCCAAUUUCAUAUUUGUUGAUGAAACAUGGAUUUUCCAGAGAGGCAAGGCAUUAACUUAUUUGAAAAUUUGUUCUGUGGUCCAAUACAAAGUAUUUCAUUUCCAUUUCAUAUAUUUUUCAGGAACUGUAUCAAAGUCAUGGCAGGACAAGAGUCUACAAUCUGCGAAGAGACGUACUGUUGGAGAUGGUAAAAGGUUUAUUGUUGUUAAUGCUGGAGGGCGCACUGGCUUUGUGCCAGGAGCAGGAUUACUUUUUGUUUCAGGUCAGAAGACUGCAGACUACCAUGGCGAGAUGAAUGGGGAAACUUUCUUGAUGUGGUUUGAAGACAUGUUGGUGCAUCUGGAGGAACCCAGUGUCAUUAUAAUGGACAAUGCUUCAUAUCACAGCACCCAGGUUGAGAAAACACCUACAACGAACUGGACCAAGGAUGCACUGAUCGCGUGGCUGGAGAAGAAUGAGAUAAAACAUGAAAAUAAUUUGUUGAAAGUGGAGCUGCUGAGAAUAGCUAAACAAAACAAGCCCCGAAUACGGUAUAUUAUUUCGUUUUUUUACAGCAUUUCUUUAAAAGUGAGAUAGUUGCAAAAAAUUACGUAUACACCUUGUUCUAACACACUUUUCAGAUAUGAGGUAGACGAGUUGGCUCGUAACUAUGGCCACGAAAUUCUACGACUCCCACCCUAUCACUGCCACUAUAAUGCAAUCGAACUAGUUUGGGCUCAAUGUAAACACCAUUACAAUAGUAACGUGGGGCGGGCCAAGAGAUUUGACAAUGAUGCAGUUGCAGCCAUCUGGAAAGAGGCUCUUGAUGCUUCCCCACCAGAGAGGUAUUUUCAUGUUGCAUGA